rnacentral:misc_RNA from 1 species
CCGAGUACCGGUGCCCUCUGGGCGCCUACUCCCACCCUUUGUGAACUUAUCUCUGUUGCUUUGGCGGGCCGGGUGCCCACGCGCCGCCGGCCCAGGCUGGAGAGCGCCCGCCAGAGGACCAUUUAAACCCUGCUCACGGUGUAAUCUGAGUACAAACAAAUAAAAACA